CAAAGAGUGAAGAGUGGCUUGAGAAUCCUUCACUGAAAAGAGCACCUCAUCUGUCGUGUUCAAAAAUAGCUUCUCUCAGUUGAAAGCCUGAGCCUGCAGGGUGGGAGACGAGGGAUUAGACCUCUGCUCUGUGAGCUGUGGGUGGCCUGGUCUGGGGGCCCAGGUAUUGUGAGAAUGACGAGCACUGCCCCUGAGCUCCAUCUUCAGCCACGUUCCUUCUCAACUGGAGGGCUCGGGUCGUGUGCGCGCUAGAUGCAGCACCAAUGGCACCUAGAGACACCUACUGCGCACACGCGACCCGCAUGGACAGUGCUACUAUAAAUCUCCAAUUGACGGCACCAGGACUUACCAACACCUGAAGUGGAGCACCCACAGGGACAGCACUCGAAGAAGAAUCAGUGGUUAUAUCACAAACCCCACUGUCUUCCUCCACCCCAGUGGAGGGGAAGGACUAACGCCGUUACUUCUUGUCCUACCUUCAGUGGACAUGGAGAAGAAUUGACCACAGUCUUCUUUAUAACAACCUUUAAUAUAUUUGAAGAUUAUUAUCAGGUCCCCCCUCAGUCUUGUUUUAGCUAUACUAAACAUAGCCUUUUUUUAACCUUUCCUCCUAGGUCAGAUUUUCUAAACCUUUUAUCAUUUUUGUUGCUCUCCUCUGGACUCUCUCCAGGUUGUCCACAUCUUUCCUAAAGUGUGGAGCCCAGAAUUGAACACAGUAUACCAAC